rnacentral:rRNA from 1 species
AGGACGAACGCUGGCGGCGUGCUUAACACAUGCAAGUCGAGCGGAAAGGCCCUUCGGGGUACUCGAGCGGCGAACGGGUGAGUAACACGUGAGCAAUCUGCCCUUAGCUUCGGGAUAGCUCCGGGAAGCCGGAAUUAAUACCGGAUAUGACUAUGGCUGACAUCAGCCACGGUGGAAAGUUUUUCGGCUAGGGAUGAGCUCGCGGCCUAUCAGCUAGUUGGUGGGGUAACGGCCUACCAAGGCGACGACGGGUA